rnacentral:rRNA from 1 species
AUAAUUAAGCGGAGGAAAAGAAACUAACAAGGAUUCCCUCAGUAACGGCGAGUGAAGCGGGAAGUGCUCACCGUGUGAAUCUGUACAGGUGCAAACCUGUGCCGAGUUGUGGUAUAUAGAAACAAUAUAUUUGAAUGAGUUUUGGGUUAAGUCCUUUGGAAAAAGGCAGCAGAGAGGGUGAUACUCCCGUUCUUGCCUGAAACUCUUUAUUGUAUUCAACGAGUCGAGUUGUUUGGGAUUGCAGCUCAAAGUGGGUGGUAAAUUCCAUCUAAAGCUAAAUAUUGGUGGGAGACCGAUAGCGAACAAGUACCGUGAGGGAAAGAUGAAAAGAACUUUGAAAAGAGAGUUAAAGAGUACCUGAAAUUGCUGAAAGGGAAGCAAAGGAAACCAGUGUUAUCUCUGCUCAUUCUUCUCCUGCUGCUUGCAACAGGAGCGCUGUGAGUUUGGAUAGGCCAUUCUAUGUUUGUGCCGGUGGAAUCUGCACCGGUUUGGACAUACACUGGCGAAAUGGUUUUCUUUACCCCGUCUU